rnacentral:lncRNA from 1 species
GUAAUUAGCUAGACCUGGGUAAUUGCUACCGCCAAGUAACAGAGGAAGUGAUACAUCACACCUGUGCCCAGGAGCAACACUUCAAAGUGUGUCAGGCUGAAAAAUAUCACAGAGGACAAUUCCCUAAGGAAUGACGGACCAACAAGAUGAAAAGUAGCAGGAUCCUGGAAGGACUGGAACAGCUGCCAACUGGACUCUCAUCACAGACUUGGCGAAAGACUUGGGAAUUAUCCGUCCUCUGUUGGAGGAGGAGCUCUCUGCCCAAGCAUCCUAAACCUUCACCCUCUAUAAUAGGCCAUUCAUUUAAGGUGCACAAUGACCCAGAGAGUUGGCUACUAUUAUUAUUCCUGUUUCACAUGUAAGGUUACUGAGGCUCAGAGAAGGCUGAAUAAUUUGCCCAAAUCUAUCGCUGAACCGCCCUAAAUGGACCCAAUCUUACAAGCUUGCUUGGUGCUUGGAUGGGAGGCUGCUUAUCACUGCCAGAAGCCCGAGGCUUUACAAUAAUAAUAAAUUCACCCACAAUUCCCAAACCAUGUGGUGCAAACAACAUCAGAAGCCAGAUUCCUUCAGCUCUAAAGAAC